GACGAACGCUGGCGGCGUGCUUAACACAUGCAAGUCGAACGGAAAGGCCCUGCUUUUGUGGGGUGCUCGAGUGGCGAACGGGUGAGUAACACGUGAGUAACCUGCCCUUGACUUUGGGAUAACUUCAGGAAACUGUGGCUAAUACCGGAUAGGAGCUCCUGCUGCAUGGUGGGGGUUGGAAAGUUUAGGCGGUUGGGGAUGGACUCGCGGCUAAUCAGCUUGUUGGUGGGGUAGUGGCUUACCAAGCCUUUGACGGGUAGCCGGCCUGAGAGGUUGACCGGCGCCAAUGGGACUGAGAUACGGCCCAGUCUCGUACGGGAGACAGCAGUGGGGAAUAUUGCACAAUGGGGGGGAGCCUGAUGCAGCAGCGCCGCGUGCGGGAAGACGGCCUUGGGGUAGUAAACCGCAUUCGCCCGUGACGACGCGUGAGUGACGGUAAUGGGUGAAGAAGCACCGGCUAACUACGUG
rnacentral:rRNA from 1 species